GGGGGGAGCAAGCGUUGUUCGGAUUUACUGGGCGUAAAGGGCGCGUAGGCGGCCACCGCAAGUCGACUGUGAAAUCUCCGGGCUUAACCCGGAAAGGUCAGCCGAUACUGCGGGGCUAGAGUGCAGAAGGGGCAACUGGAAUUCUCGGUGUAGCGGUGAAAUGCGUAGAUAUCGAGGGGAACACCUGCGGCGAAGGCGGGUUGCUGGGCUGACACUGACGCUGAGGCGCGAAAGCUAGGGGAGCGAACGGGAUUAGAUACCCCGGUAGUCCUAGCCUUAAACGAUGAAUGCUUGGUGUCUGGGGUUUUAUAGUCCCCGGGUGCCGUCGCUAACGCUUUAAGCAUUCCGCCUGGGGAGUACGGUCGCAAGACUG
rnacentral:rRNA from 1 species